CUUCUUUGUGGACUGGACCGACUGACGCUCCUCGUUGUUUGCUCGUCGACGGUCUGCUGCCAUUGAACCACUGCGCUUUGUUACAGUUCGUCCGUCAGGAUACCACCUGUGAUGAUGAUAUUGAGGAAACGCCAAGUUGGCCUUUCAUAUUUGCUAAAGGUGGUGGUUUCCUGACAGCGAAGUCCUUCACAGUUUGCAUUGAUAACGUCCCUCUCAUACAAGCAUCCAGUCCUAGAGAGGCGUUCAAGAUAUUAUUCCUGGCACACUUUGCG
rnacentral:lncRNA from 1 species